rnacentral:lncRNA from 1 species
UUCAUCAGACCUUCUCUCUCUCCUUCUCUCUCUCAGGCGACUCAAGAACAUCAACCACCUUCUCUUUCGGGCGACUCAGAAUCAGAGUCAGAAGCUUAAAUGGGCUCAAGGGAAAGCGGGUGAGAAUCGGGUACAUGUUUUGGAGGAGCACGGGUGAGUUUUCGUGGGGAUUUAUGAUGGGUUUAACGGUCCGGAUUCACCGGAUUAUCUGUUGUCGAAUUUGUAUCCUGCUGUCGGUCUUCUUCAUUUGAGUUCUCCCAUGGAGAAAUCUGAUGAACUUCUCCUGCGAGUUCUAAAGUCGUUGCCAUUAGGUUUCUACUCAGGUUUUCCCUAAGAUGGUUGAAGAUGGAUUUCCAAGCCCUAACGUUGUCACAACCGGAAUCAUGCCGAUUUGUACUUUUUAUUGGUAUUAAUCUUUAUGGGUAUUCUUUAAGGUGUUUUUGUUUUGAUUCCCAAGCCCUAAGUUAGUUAUUUUAUUGUGUUUUGAUUGUAUGAAUCAAACAAUGUUAAUGUUGUUAUGUUUAUAUCGAGCUUUAGAGAUGUUUCCG